rnacentral:hammerhead_ribozyme from 1 species
AUCCAGCUGACGAGUCCCAAAUAGGACGAAGUGCGCGUAAUGGAU